rnacentral:rRNA from 1 species
GUGAGUCAUCGAGUCUUUGAACGCACCUUGCGCUCCUUGGUAUUCCGAGGAGCAUGCCUGUUUGAGUGUCAUUAAAUUCUCAACCCCACCGAUUCGUUUCGGUUGCGGGCUUGGACUUGGGGCGUGCUGGCGAAAGUCGGCUCCUCUCUAAAUGCAUCAGCGGAUAAUAUAUACCCUUUGCUGUCAUCAGUGUGAUAAUCAUGUCUCGCUGUUACCAGGCUCGGUGGUGUUCCGCUUCUAAUGGUCUUCGGACAAUACACUUUUAAAUUUGACCUCAAAUCAGGUAGGACUACCCGCUGAACUUAAGCAUAUCAAUAAGCGGAGG